rnacentral:rRNA from 1 species
AGUCGAGCGGAUGAAGGAGCUUGCUCCUGGAUUCAGCGGCGGAGGGAGAGUAAUGCCUAGGAAUCUGCCUGGUAGUGGGGGACAACGUUUCGAAAGGAACGCUAAUACCGCAUACGUCCUACGGGAGAAAGCAGGGGACCUUCGGGCCUUGCGCUAUCAGAUGAGCCUAGGUCGGAUUAGCUAGUUGGUGAGGUAAUGGCUCACCAAGGCGACGAUCCGUAACUGGUCUGAGAGGAUGAUCAGUCACACUGGAACUGAGACACGGUCCAGACUCCUACGGGAGGCAGCAGUGGGGAAUAUUGGACAAUGGGCGAAAGCCUGAUCCAGCCAUGCCGCGUGUGUGAAGAAGGUCUUC